rnacentral:rRNA from 1 species
AACGAACGCUGGCGGCAGGCUUAACACAUGCAAGUCGAACGAGAUCUUCGGAUCUAGUGGCAGACGGGUGAGGAACACGUGGGAACAUCCCUUUCAAUUCGGAAUAACGUUGGGAAACUAACGCUAAUACCGGAUACGUCCUUCGGGAGUAAGAUUUAUCGCUGAAAGAUUGGCCCGCGUCUGAUUAGCUAGUUGGUGAGGUAACGGCUCACCAAGGCUACGAUCAGUAGCUGAUCUGAGAGGAUGAUCAGCCACAUUGGGACUGAGACACGGCACAAACUCCUACGGGAGGCAGCAGUGGGGAAUAUUGGACAAUGAGCGCAAGCCUGAUCCAGCCAUGCCGCGUGAGUGAUGAAGGCCUUCGGGUUGUAAAGCUCUUUUGUCCGGGAAGAUAAUGACUGUACCGGAAGAAUAAGCCCCGGCAAACUUCGUGCCAGCCGCCGCAGUAA